CAAAGAAAAAGUGUGAUUUUUCAAGGAAUCAAGUGUUUAAAGGUGGUGAGCUAUCUGAUACGGGUAAAAGACUACACCCGAGGACCGAGAAUAGGAGUAUAUCUACUCCUAGUACAGCUCAGAAUAGGCAGUAGACUAUCAAUUGCAUCGAGAAG
rnacentral:sRNA from 1 species